AUGCCACCUUCACCCUCAUGGGUGGUGUCACUUCCCCAAGGGCAUGCCACAUGUUCCCUCAAUUGUGUCUUGACUUGCUCAGAGAAGAACCUUUCGUUUUCAUGCCACGCUCAAGUCAGUGGGAACAAAUUCCUCUUUACUGUGGAAUCUGGAAAGGUUCCUCUUGACAGUAUACAGUAAGUUUUAUGCUUGCUGCUUCAGGAGAACCAUUUGUUUGACAAGACUUCAGCGCUGUCAUUUCUAAAAGCAAGAUCUACUGAAGAUACUAGAGUGUGGAGACAGAGGGAAGAAGUCCAUGGAGAGAAAUGUGGGCAAAUCAAGUGGUUGACUUGCCUGCAAUGGGAUUCUCCAAGUCAGGAGGCUGGGUUACAGUCAGGUCUGGGGCAGCUUCUGGUGGUGCCCAAAGGGGUGGAAGGAUCUUGGAGGGAUAGCCAAGGAUUGCACCUGGUGACAUGUUCUCAGCCUGACAUUUACAGCCUGUCCAGAAGUUCCUUCCAUGGCUCCAAGCACAGCAUGAAAGUAGCAAAGAGGAGGGCUGGAAGGGACCACAAGGACAUACCAGUGGACAUCUCUGCCAUGAGAGAGUGGACAUCCUGCUGAGGCCCAUGGGUGCCUCUUCAAGCUGUUGACCUUGUGUAAGUUUCUGAAAAGUCAGCCCUGCCCCUGAGUGGGGGUUGGGAGAGAAAAAUAAAACUGAAGUCCCAA